rnacentral:rRNA from 1 species
UUAGCCUACGGGGCGCAGCAGUGAGGAAUAUUGGUCAAUGGGCGGAAGCCUGAACCAGCCAAGUCGCGUGAGGGAUUAAGGCCCUAUGGGUCGUAAACCUCUUUUGUCAGGGAGCAAGGCCUCUCACGUGUGGGAGGUUGGAGAGUACCUGAAGAAAAAGCAUCGGCUAACUCCGUGCCAGCAGCCGCGGUAAUACGGAGGAUGCGAGCGUUAUCCGGAUUUAUUGGGUUUAAAGGGUGCGUAGGCGGGACGGUAAGUCAGCGGUAAAAAUGCAGAGCUCAACUCCGUCGAGCCGUUGAAACUGC